ensembl:ncRNA lncRNA:CR43995 long non-coding RNA:CR43995
GUAUAUUAUUUCGCACCAAGGACAUAUUGUUGUUUAAAGAAAAUAAAUACGUCUUUCGUUUCUACAUUUGCCAUCAUAUUUUAUUGAGAUACCAUUUACUCAGUUAGUAGUGUGCAAAUUUCAUUAAUUUUAAGAACAUUUUUUAAAAUUGUUUAAAAGUGGGAAUGUUUUGGGCGUUUUGCUGGUGUAAAGAGGGACGUGGCAAAAGUGUUUUUGAUACAGAUGGAAAUUGACAAGACACACAAUAAAACG